GACAUUUUCAAUAUAAAGUCAUGGGUUGGAGAUGCUCUUGCCCAAAAUUGUUAUCAGAAAUCUGGCCUUAAAUUCCACCAGGAAGGUUCUUCUGGUGUUUUUCUUUUUUCUUUCCUUCUUUACUCAUCAGUGGGGGUUCUGUUUGCAAGCUAGACAUUCAUAUUCCAGGAGAGAGAGAGAGAGAGAGAGAAGAAGAAGAAGAAGAAGAAGAAGAAUGGGGAAGUCGUCGGCGACAAAGGAUGCUCAAGCACUUUUCCAAUCGCUCCGGUCUGCUUAUGCUGCCACUCCCACAAAUCUCAAGAUCAUCGAUCUAUACGUCAUGUUUGCAGUCUUCACCGCUGUGAUUCAGGUUGUUUACAUGGCUAUAGUUGGAUCUUUCCCAUUCAACUCUUUUCUCUCAGGAGUUCUUUCUGGCGUCGGGACAGCAGUUCUUGCUGUUUGUCUCCGUAUACAAGUGAACAAAGAAAACAAGGAAUUCAAGGAUUUGCCGCCAGAACGUGCUUUUGCGGACUUUGUUCUCUGCAAUUUGGUGCUCCAUUUGGUGAUUAUGAACUUCCUCGGAUAAAGAAGGGAAUUAGGACUCUAGGGAUGCUGUUUAGCGACAUAGUUCCAGGCCAUUGGUUGUGUUUGUUUUUUGUUAUUAACCCUAUCCAGUUAAGAUUACAAGAAUUUGCACUCGGUUUUUCAUCGAUGGACACGAGUUUCAAACUGCUUUGUGAAGAUAGACAUGCCUGUAGUUCUGUAGCAAUUUCACUUUCGUCUCUUUUUGGUUGGAAUCAUUGUCGAGAAAGUUUUUUUUCCCUUUCAUGUAAUACUCCCUCUCCCUCUCGCUCAUCGAGUCAUCGGUACGGGACCGGGUUAGGGUUAGGGUUAGUUGCAACUUGUGAAGUAAAACUUAUACCCAGACAUUACACCUACUAAGAAAGUGCUUCAUGUCCCUCACUAGAACACCUGAGUGGUGGUAUGUUUCAUAUUUUGAUACAACAUAGGUGCACAUGAAUUUGUUA